rnacentral:lncRNA from 1 species
CAGAAAAUGCUGGUGCUGCUGUACUACUGAGGGCAGUGCCUCCCUCCAACAACUGCUCUGCAGUGUGAGAUGUGGUCACUCACACAGACUCCUAAUACAGCCCACCGCAUGUAGUCUGGCAAGGUUUUAUUAGCCUCUUCCCCACCAAGGAUUGUUGUUGCAAAACCAUGUGCAAUUCAGCGCUGAGCAAUGUGUUCCCUACACACAGCUCAGUGCAGUACACUGGGAUGGUUACUAUUAUCGACACUAUUAGGACAUACAGGAGAGCAUGAUGCAAUAGAAGGAACACCAAGCUGAGAUAAAGGUGACAUGGGGAACUGUUGUAGGCAGCUUGAAGGUAUAACUAUAUGCGAAAGCCCCACUGGUUCUGGAGUUGGCCUAUGGAUUUGCAAUGAAUGGAGCAACCAGAAAGGAAUGCAGAUAUAACGGAGAGCCCUCCCUGCCAUCUGCACCCAUGAGCCCACUGCAUCACAGGAUUUUUGCAGGCCCUGCCAU